rfam:Clostridium puniceum strain DSM 2619 CLPTN_contig000190, whole genome shotgun sequence.
UAGAACUGAUAAUCUGAGAAGUCAAAUGAAAGAGUAACGUCUUGAAGGGCUAUUCUAAUACUCCCAAUAGCAUUGUUAUGAACAAGAAUAAAAAAUGUUAUAAGCUCGGUGAAGUCGACUGAGAGUACACCCUAACUGGUCAAGCUGAGAAAAUGCGAACUAGAGGUAGUCGAGUGUAUGAUAGGUCGGGAAUCCACAAA